CAGCGUCUCUACUGGGGAUUUCUCUGGGACAGUUUGCUUCUGCAAGGCUAAGAGAAAAACAAAGAGACAUCAGCGCGCUUGCCUCCCCUAUCCCGGUCCCGCAAAGAGGAACAGUGGAAGAGAUCGGACCAUUGGAAAGGGGUUGCUUUUAUACAGCCAGUGGCAUCAUGGGAAGUCUGCUGCUACCCCCAAUUCCUAAGUUAUGCCGGAAGUGGGGCCUGAGAGAGAUGAACACAACACUAGGUAGGGGAGGGUACUUUCCACAGAGAACAACUGCCAAAGUAGAAGAGGAAACUUGAGUGACUCAGAAGUGGGAUUCCAGGGUGUGACUGGCAGGUGUGCCCUCACAGCUGGUGCUCAUUCAGGAAGAAACCCAUUCUCCAGUACCUGGAAGAAACAGGGAUUUUCUGUCAGAAAAAACAUUUUAACCAUCUCCUGUUGUCCAUGGCACAAGGGUCCCACAAACAAACAUCAUGACAAACCUGCUUUUUAAUGAUUGAUGUUCACAGAUUCAAAAUAAAAUAACUCUAUCAAAAGAAUAUCUGUGCCUUUAUUUUAUGUGUGGUGUGAAUCAGAACAGCACAAAUUAGUCAGAAAUUAGGAGACCCUAUGGCCUGUGUAUUAUAAAUGAACAUAUUGAUUUUUAACAAUAUUGUAAACAAAACUGAAAAAUAUAAUGUAACUAAACAAUUAUAACAAAACAGAAAAGCUUUUAAAUUUUUUUUGUAAAAUUUAAC